GGUGGUCUCAUACGGAUAAGCUCGCAAGAGAUGGCUAGAAAAGUUUAAAAAAAUACGUGUUUAGAAUAUCAUCGUUCCCACUUACUCAACUCGCGUAAAGCUUGUCUAAUUCCAAAAGGAACUACUCUUCAUUGGACAUGGAAAAAAGAAUGUGGUCAAUUGACGGUAACCCCCUUAUCCACAGUGGUGCCAUGGCAUUUACGAACGAGCAUGCGGUGGAAAAUGACGAGUUUUGUUAGUUUAUAAG
rnacentral:lncRNA from 1 species